rnacentral:tmRNA from 1 species
GGGGACGACACGGUAUAGACGGGUCGAUAAAUGCAAGGUAUAAGCAUGCAGUGGGCUGUAGCUGAACCACUUAAAUCCUCAACUACAAACCAUAACUGGCGACAACAACUACGCGCUGGCUGCCUAAUUAGAUUAGGACAGCUAGCUGUCUCCCGGUCCGGAAGUGUCUACCGGCCGGCCAUAGUGGAGGCACAGACACCCAGGUAGACUUCGGUCGGGCUUCGCUGCGCGCCUGACUCAAGACAAAGCGGCACCCUCACUCGCAGUUCCUGUCGUUCGGGGAGCGAAGUGAAAACAAUAGAGCGACUAAGCAUGUAGAAGGCCUUGUGGUUGUCUUCUCCGGACGCGGGUUCGACUCCCGCCGUCUCCACCC